AAGAAAGUAAAUAAGGGCGCAUGGCGGAUGCCUUGGCUCUCGGAGGCGAUGAAGGACGUGAUAAGCUGCGAUAAGCUUCGGGUAGGUGCAAAUGACCAUUGAUCCGAAGAUUUCCGAAUGGGACAACCCGGCAUUCUGAAGGAAUGUCAUCCAACUUUGUUGGAGGCUAACGCAGGGAACUGAAACAUCUUAGUACCUGCAGGAAAAGAAAAUAAAUAAUGAUUCCCCUAGUAGUGGCGAGCGAACGGGGAUUAGCCCAAACCACCCAUGUUACGGCAUGUGUGGGGUUGUAGGACCACGCUCUCGCAAGACAGUUAUUGAGAAGAAACGGCUGGAAAGUCGUGCCAUAGACGGUGAUAGCCCGGUAUUCUAAGGUAACCGAAGCGUAGUGGUAUCCUGAGUAGCGCGGAGCACGAGGAAUUCUGCGUGAAUCA
rnacentral:rRNA from 1 species